UACGAAGGGGGCUAGCGUUGCUCGGAAUCACUGGGCGUAAAGCGCACGUAGGCGGAUUGCUAAGUCAGGGGUGAAAUCCUGGAGCUCAACUCCAGAACUGCCUUUGAUACUGGCGAUCUUGAGUCCGGGAGAGGUGAGUGGAAUUCCGAGUGUAGAGGUGAAAUUCGUAGAUAUUCGGAAGAACACCAGUGGCGAAGGCGGACUCACUGGACAUGUAUUGACGCUGAGGUGCGAAAGCGUGGGGAGCAAACAGG
rnacentral:rRNA from 1 species